UCAUCCAUCAGUAAAAAAGGAAACUUCAAGAAGCCUUCUAUCAGUUCAUCAUCCCCCUUCAUUAUCGAUGGAAACUCCAAGAAUGUAGAUUCAAUCCCAUGAAUGGAGACACAAUCCAAGAACUUCCCCCAAUGGGUGACCUUCAAGUUCAGAAUCCAACAAGCUUCCAGAUUCGCAAGAAGCUAAUACUUUGAUUUGGUACUGAUGGUCACCCCAAGCUCUCACCAUGUGGCUGCUGGAAUUCGCACAAACAGAUUCAGAGUCUCCCACAUUCAUUUACAAUUUUUUAUUUUCGGUUCGACCCUCCUUAUGAUGUGAAGUAAUGCUUAUGGGGCUGUUGUUGCUAAGUUCUUCUUUUUCUUCUUCUUUGGAUUGGCUAUUAAUCUCAUGUAUUUUAAUGUAAUCUGGACUGUCGUUGUUAUUACUAUUUUGAUACUUUUCCCUCGUAUUUGCUGAUUUACCAUCGGAUUCCACUGAAGGUAUCACUUUUUCAUUACUAUCUUGUUCAUUUCCA